CGUGGGUAACCUGCCCAAGAGACUGGGAUAACACCUGGAAACAGAUGCUAAUACCGGAUAACAACACUAGACGCAUGUCUAGAGUUUAAAAGAUGGUUCUGCUAUCACUCUUGGAUGGACCUGCGGUGCAUUAGCUAGUUGGUAAGGUAACGGCUUACCAAGGCAAUGAUGCAUAGCCGAGUUGAGAGACUGAUCGGCCACAUUGGGACUGAGACACGGUCCAAACUCCUACGGGAGGCAGCAGCC
rnacentral:rRNA from 1 species